rfam:Salmo salar isolate Sally breed double haploid chromosome ssa18, whole genome shotgun sequence.
UCUUCCCCCUGCUGCAAGUCGCUCUGGAUAAGAGCGUCUGCUAAAUGACUUAAA